rnacentral:rRNA from 1 species
GACGAACGCUGGCGGCGUGCUUAACACAUGCAAGUCGAACGGUCAAGCGCCUUCCUUUCUGGUCGGUGUGGAUGAGCGGCCAACGGGUGAGUAACACGUUAGUAACCUUCCCCCUUCUUCUGGAUAACCGCAUGACGGUGUUGCUAAUACGUGAUAUACUGAGUCUGUCGCAUGAUUGGUCUGGGAAGGAUUUGGUUUCGGUUGUGGAUGGGCUCGCGCCGUAUCAGCUUGUUGGUGGGGUGAUGGCCUACCAAGGCGGCGAUGGGUAGCCGGCCUGAGAGGGGGAUCGGCCACACUGGAAGUGAGACACGGUCCAGACGCCUACGGGAGGCAGCAGCAGGGGAGCUUCCGCAACGGGCGGAGGCCUGACGGAGCAGCGCCGCGGGGGGGAUGAAGGUCGUCGGAUGGUAGAGCUCUGUUUUCAGGAGAGAACAAAGGUGUAAUUAUCUGUGCGUGUGUUGACGGUACCUAGUCAGAAAGCGACGGCUAACUACGUG